GAUGAACGCUGGCGGCGUGCCUAAUACAUGCAAGUCGAGCGAACGGACGAGAAGCUUGCUUCUCUGAUGUUAGCGGCGGACGGGUGAGUAACACGUGGAUAACCUACCUAUAAGACUGGGAUAACUUCGGGAAACCGGAGCUAAUCCCGGAUGUUAUCUUGAACCGCAUGGUUCAAAAGUGAAAGACGGUCUUGCUGUCACUUAUAGAUGGAUCCGCGCUGCAUUAGCUAGUUGGUAAGGUAACGGCUUACCAAGGCAACGAUGCAUAGCCGACCUGAGAGGGUGAUCGGCCACACGGGAACUGAGACACGGUCCAGACUCCGACGGGAGGCAGCAGUAGGGAAUCUUCCGCAAUGGGCGAAAGCCUGACGGAGCAACGCCGCGUGAGUGAUGAAGGUCUUCGGAUCGUAAAACUCUGUUAUUAGGGAAGAACAUAUGUGUAAGUAACUGUGCACAUCUUGACGGUACCUAAUCAGAAAGCCACGGCUAACUACGUG
rnacentral:rRNA from 1 species